rnacentral:rRNA from 1 species
CGCGUAGGCGGUUUGCUAAGUCAGAUGUGAAAGCCCAUGGCUCAACCAUGGACGUGCAUUUGAAACUGGCGGACUUGAGUAUUGGAGGGGGUGGUGGAAUUCCCGGUGUAGAGGUGAAAUUCGUAGAUAUCGGGAGGAAUACCGGUGGCGAAGGCGACCACCUGGCCAAAUACUGACGCUGAGGUGCGAAAGCGUGGGGAGCAAACA